GCAGGGGUUGCAGAGCCUGGAAUGGCAUUGUGCCACAGAAAAUGCGCGAGACUUAAGAUCUUGUGGCUUAGCGCCUUCGAGAGUUCAAAUCUCUCCCCCUGCA
rnacentral:tRNA from 1 species